UGCAAGUCGAGCGAACAGAGAAGGAGCUUGCUCCUUUGACGUUAGCGGCGGACGGGUGAGUAACACGUGGGCAACCUACCUUAUAGUUUGGGAUAACUCCGGGAAACCGGGGCUAAUACCGAAUAAUCUGUUUCACCUCAUGGUGAAAUAUUGAAAGACGGUUUCGGCUGUCGCUAUAGGAUGGGCCCGCGGCGCAUUAGCUAGUUGGUGAGGUAACGGCUCACCAAGGCGACGAUGCGUAGCCGACCUGAGAGGGUGAUCGGCCACACUGGGACUGAGACACGGCCCAGACUCCUACGGGAGGCAGCAGUAGGGAAUCUUCCACAAUGGGCGAAAGCCUGAUGGAGCAACGCCGCGUGAGUGAAGAAGGAUUUCGGUUCGUAAAACUCUGUUGUAAGGGAAGAACAAGUACAGUAGUAACUGGCUGUACCUUGACGGUACCUUAUUAGAAAGCCACGGCUAACUACGUGCCAGCAGCCGCGGUAAUACGUAGGUGGCAAGCGUUGUCCGGAAUUAUUGGGCGUAAAGCGCGCGCAGGUGGUUUCUUAAGUCUGAUGUGAAAGCCCACGGCUCAACCGUGGAGGGUCAUUGGAAACUGGGAGACUUGAGUGCAGAAGAGGAUAGUGGAAUUCCAAGUGUAGCGG
rnacentral:rRNA from 1 species